CGAGCGCAACCCCUAUCCUCAGUUGCCAUCAUUAAGUUGGGCACUCUGUGGAGACUGCCGGUAGUCAAACCGGAGGAAGGUGGGGAUGACGUCAAGUCCUCAUUGGCCCUUAUGACCAGGGCUACACACGUGAUACAAUGGUACAGACAGAGGGCUGCAAGACCGUAAGGUGGAGCCAAUCCCUAAACUGUAUCCCAGUUCAGAUCGAGGGCUGCAAUUCGCCCUCGUGAAGUUGGAAUCGCUAGUAAUCGCAGAUCAGCAGGCUGCGGUGAAUACCGGUUCCCGGGCCUU
rnacentral:rRNA from 1 species